AGGUCUGGUGGGGGCUACCCGGCUGAGUUUAAGCAUAUAAAAUAAAAGCGAGAAAAAAAACACAAAGAUUCCCUAGUAAUAACGAGCGAAUCGGGAUCAGCCUAGCUUUGGAGAAUCCCAAGCGUGCGUCGUCUGAAUUAUGGAUUUGGAGAAGCGUGCCCGGCCGACGGACCCGGGCCCAAGUCCCCUGGAAAGGGGAAGGGAGGGUGAGAGCCCCGGUCUGCUCGACCCUGUCGCAUUCACGCAGGCGCUGUCGAUGAGUCGGGUUGUUUGGGAAUGUAGCCCCAAUUGGGCGGUAAAUUCCGCCCAAGGCUAAAUAUGGGCGGAGACCGAUAGCGAACAAAUUCGGGAAAGAUGAAAAGGACUUUGAAAAAGAGGAGUCAAAGAGCUUGAAAUUGCCGGGAGGGAAGCGGAUGGGGGCGGCGAUGCACCUCGGUCGGAUGCGGAAUCGGCUGUUAUCGAUCCGCCGUUCGGCUUCAGUGCGGAUCGACUGGCUGCAUCGUGAUGAAGCCCCCGGACGGAUGGAUGCGCUCGAGGGGAUACCGUCGAGCGCGGUCGAGGACACAUACCGCCAUCGGUGUGCCUUGAAGUCACGUGCGACCUAGGCAUCGGCCAGUGGGCUCCCCAUCCGACCCAUCUUGAAAACACAGACUGCUGAGUCUGACAUGCGUCGCAGUCAACGGUGCGCGAAACCCGGAAGGCACAAAGGAAGCUAACGGGAACCCUCGAGGGGGUUGCACUGCCCGGCCGACCCGAUCUUCUGUGAAGAGUUCCAGUUGGAGCAUGCAUGUCGUGACCGAAGAUGGUGAAACGGCCUGAGUCGAAAAUGGCGGAGGAAACUCUGGUGGAGUCUUGCCGUCUUGGCGAUGCAAAUCAGUUCGUCUGAUCUGGGUAUAGGGAAGUAAAGACUAAUCGGAACAUCUAGUAGCUGGUUCCUCCAGUUUCCCUCAGAUAGCUGGAGCCACGCAAGGAAGUUCUAUCGGGUAAAGCCAAUGAUUAUAUCGGGGCUCCAACGCCCUCGACCUAUUCUCAAACUUUAAACCUAGAGACCCAGUGCUCCAAACGUCGCCCGAAUCGAGAGCUCAAGUGGGCCAUUUUUGGUAAAGCAGAACUGGCGUCUUGUGGGAUGAACCCGGAAGCCGGGUUCACGGUGCCCAACUGCGGCGCUUUGGACACCACAAGGGUGUUGGUCGAUUAAAGACAGGACGGUGGUCAUGGAAGUCAAAUCCGCUAAGGAGUGUGUAACAACUCACCCCGCAAUCAACUAGCCCCGAAAUGGAUAUGCUGAAGCCGCCGACCUACACCCGUUAUCGUGGGGCGUAAACCCCGGCGAGUAGGAAAAUAUCGCCGCAAAAACAGGGCGCGAAGCCGAAGCGGGCAGCCCUUGGUGGAUCUUGGUGGUAGUAGCAAAUAUUCAAAUAUGAGAACUUUCAAGGCGAAGAGGGGGAAAGGUUCCAUGUGAACGGCACUUGCACAUGGGUUACCCGAUCCUAAGGGACGAAAGCCGAUCGGCGUGUCCCGCUACGGGAAAUUCGAAAGGGAAUCGGGUUAAAAUUCGAAAUGCGGCGGCGGGCAGCGGACGUUAGGAAGUCGGAGACGUCGGGCGGGGCCCGGGAAGGAUUAUCUUUUCUGCUUAACGGCCCGCCCACCCUGGGAAAUGGCUCAGCGGGUAGGGUCCAGCGGUCGGAAGAAGCCACUCAUGUCGGCGUCGGGCGUCGGUCCCCCGGUGACCCUUGAAAAUCCGAGGACCGAGGCCGCCAGCCAUACGUCGUACUCAUAACCGCAUCAGGUCUCCAAAAGGUGAACAGCCUCUGGCCCAUGGAACAAUGUAGGCAAGGGAAGUCGACCGCUGGAUCCGUAACAUCGGAAAAGGAUUGGCUCUGAGGGCUGGGCACGGGGGUCCAGGCCCCGUUCCGUCGGCUAUCACGGCGGACUGCUCGAAACUACUCUCGAAGCGAGUGGGUGGGCCAGCGUGCCGGCCGGGGAUUUACGAGAAUAGCCCCCGGCGCUUCCCGGGGUCGCGUCCGAACAGCCGACUCAGAACUGGUGCGGACAAAGGGGAAUCCAUUGUUUAAUUAAAACAAAGCAUUCUGCGAUGGUCCCCCGCGGAUGCUCACGCAAUGUGAUUUCUGCCCAGUCUCUGAAUGUCAAAGUGAAGAAAUUCAACCAAAGCGUGGGUAAAUGGCGGGGAGUAACUAUGACUCUCUUAAGGUAGCCAAAUGCCUCGCAUCUAAUUGGUGGCGCAUGAAUGGAUUAACGAGAUUCCCCACUGUCCUGUCUACUAUCCAGCGAAACCACAGCCAAGGUAGCGGGCUUGGCAGAAUCAGCGGGGAAAGAAGACCCGCCCGGCCUCCUUUUGGACCCUCCUUCUACUUAUUCCGUGAGGAUUCCGAGGGGCCGGCCCCUCCUUUGGACCCAAGGCCGCCCUGGCGAUCUGAUCUGAAGACAUUGUCAGGUGGGGGAGUUUGGCUGGGGCGGCACAUCUGUUAAAAGAUAACAUGGGUGUCCUAAGAUGAGCUCAGCGAGAACAGAAAUCUCGUGUGGAACAAAAGGGUAAAAGCUCGUUUGAUUCUGAUUUCUGAAUGCAAAUAUGAACUGUGGCGUGGCCCUGUCGAUCCUACCUUCGGAAUUUGAAGCUAGAGGUGUCAGAAAAGUUACCACAGGGAUAACUGGCUUGUGGCAGCCAAAGCGUUCAUAGCGACGUUGCUUUUUUGAUCCUUGAUGUCGGCUCUUCCUAUCAUUGUGAAGCAGAAUUCACCAAGUGUUGGAUUGUUCACCCACCAAUAGGGAGCGUGAGCUGGUUUGAACCGUCGUGAGACAGGUUAGUUUUACCCUACUGAUGAUGGUGUCGCGAUAGUAAUUCAACCUAGUCUGAGAGGAACGUUGAUUCACACAAUUGGUCAUCGGCGGUUGGUUGAAAAACCAGUGGCCUUGAAGCUACCGUGUGUCGGAUUAUGACUGAACCCUCUAAGUCAGAAUCCUAGCUAGCAACCCGGUGCUCUAAGCCCGUCGUUAAGCCUCCGACCCACAGUAGGGCCUUUU
rnacentral:rRNA from 1 species